rnacentral:rRNA from 1 species
CCCGCUGAACUUAAGCAUAUCAAUAAGCGGAGGAAAAGAACCUAACAAGGAUUCCCCUAGUAACUGCGAGUGAAGCGGGAAAAGCUCAAAUUUAAAAUCUGGCAGCCAUUUUACGGUUGUCCGAGUUGUAAUCUAGAGAAGUGCUUUCCGCGCUGGACCGUGUACAAGUCUCUUGGAAUAGAGCAUCAUAGAGGGUGAGAAUCCCGUCUUUGACACGGACUACCAGUGCUUUAUGUGAUGCGCUCUCAAAGAGUCGAGUUGUUUGGGAAUGCAGCUCAAAAUGGGUGGUAAAUUCCAUCUAAAGCUAAAUAUUGGCGAGAGACCGAUAGCGAACAAGUACCGUGAGGGAAAGAUGAAAAGAACUUUGGAAAGAGAGUUAAACAGUACGUGAAAUUGUUGAAAGGGAAACGCUUGAAGUCAGUCACGUUGGCCAGAAAUCAACUUGUAACAGGGCGUAAUUUCUGGUUUUACGGGUCAUACAUCAAUUUUGAUUGUUGGAUAAAAGUCAAUAUUUAUGCGUUUUCGGACGUGUAGCCUUUGAUUGCAUACAAUGGUUGGGAUUGAGGAACUCAGCACGCCGCAAGUCCGGGUAACUUGUUACCACGUAACGUGCUUAGGAUGUUGGCAUAAUGGCUUUAAUCGACCCGUCUUGAAACACGG